UCUUGGUCCAUUUAGAGGAAGUAAAAGUCGUAACAAGGUUUCCGUAGGUGAACCUGCGGAAGGAUCAUUAACGAGUUGAACGGGGUUGUAGCUGGCCUUCACRGGCAUGUGCACACCUCACUCAUCCACUCUACACCUGUGCACUUACUGUGGGUUUCGAGAGGCCGCGCUUGCGUGGUUGAUCGGGCUCACGUCUAUUACAAACUCUUCAGUAUCAGAAUGUGUAUCGCGAUGUAACGCAUCUAUAUACAACUUUCAGCAACGGAUCUCUUGGCUCUCGCAUCGAUGAAGAACGCAGCGAAAUGCGAUAAGUAAUGUGAAUUGCAGAAUUCAGUGAAUCAUCGAAUCUUUGAACGCACCUUGCGCUCCUUGGUAUUCCGAGGAGCAUGCCUGUUUGAGUGUCGUGUAAUUCUCAACCUAUAAAUCCUUGUGGUUUUUAGGCUUGGACUUGGAGGCUUUUGCUGGCUUUACCGUCGGCUCCUCUUAAAUGCAUUAGCUUGAUUCCUUGCGGAUCGGCUCUCAGUGUGAUAAUUAUCUGCGCUGUGACCGUGAAGCGUUUGGCGAGCUUCUAACCGUCUCUUUGAGACAAACACUUUGACAUCUGACCUCAAAUCAGGUAGG
rnacentral:rRNA from 1 species